GAGUUUGAUCCUGGCUCAGGAUGAACGCUAGCGGUAGGCCUAACACAUGCAAGUCGAACGGUAACAUAGAAAGCUUGCUUUCUGAUGACGAGUGGCGGACGGGUGCGUAGCACGUAUGCAACUUACCCUUCACUGGGGCAUAGCCCAGAGAAAUCUGGAUUAAUACCCCAUAAUAUCACGAGGAUGCAUGUCCUUGUGAUUAAAACUCCGGUGGUGAAGGAUGGGCAUGCGUCCCAUUAGUUAGUUGGUGAGGUAACGGCUCACCAAGACCACGAUGGGUAGGGGGUCUGAGAGGAUGAUCCCCCACACUGGUACUGAGACACGGACCAGACUCCUACGGGAGGCAGCAGUGAGGAAUAUUGGUCAAUGGACGAAAGUCUGAACCAGCCAUACCGCGUGCAGGAAGACGGCCCUGCGGGUUGUAAACUGCUUUUGUUUGCCAAGAAACCCCUCUACGUGUAGAGGGCUGACGGUAGCAUUCGAAUAAGGACCGGCUAACUCCGUGCCAGCAGCCGCGGUAAUACGGAGGGUCCAAGCGUUAUCCGGAUUUAUUGGGUUUAAAGGGUUCGUAGGCGGGAAGAUAAGUCAGUGGUGAAAGCCCGUGGCUCAACCAUGGAAUUGCCAUUGAUACUGUCUUUCUUGAAUGCACUUGAAGUGGGCGGAAUGUGUCGUGUAGCGGUGAAAUGCUUAGAUAUGACACAGAAUACCAAUUGCGAAGGCAGAUCACUAACAAUGUACUGACGCUCAUGGGCGAAAGCGUGGGGAGCGAACAGGAUUAGAUACCCUGGUAGUCCACGCCGUAAACGAUGGAUACUAACUGUUCGACCUUCGGGUUGAGUGGUUAAGCGAAAGUGAUAAGUAUCCCACCUGGGGAGUACGCUCGCAAGAGUGAAACUCAAAGGAAUUGACGGGGCCCGCACAGCGGUGGAGCAUGUGGUUUAUUCGAUGAUA
rnacentral:rRNA from 1 species